AAAACAGUAAGUUAAAAAAUUAAACUAAAACAGUUCAAUUGUUUAAAUGGUUAUUCCCUGUUUUA
rnacentral:tRNA from 1 species